rnacentral:tRNA from 1 species
UUAAAGUGGCAGAAAAGUGCAAGGAAUUUAAGCUUCCUUAAUGAAAUUAUUUCCUUUAAUA